AUCUCAUCAAUUAUACGCUACAACAUAUUUUAAACAUCAAUGCUUUCGACGCGAAUUAAUUGACGAAGGGACGCGAGGUCGAACUUACUUGCAGCGAGUCGCGCUUUUUCCAACAUAUACAAGUUUGAAUAAUAAGUUGCAUGGUGUAUAUCGUCAAGUUGAUACAUUUGAAGAGAGCCUCCAAGUGCAAACUUAUAUCGACUAAAUACAAAUAAAUGGAGUACAACGAAGGCAGGAGGAUCAGGAAAGCGUUGAUGACAAUGCAGAUUUGUGCUAUUUUGUAACUACCGCGGCUUCUGCCGCUGUCGUCAGCAUGUGGCCAGCAAAAGCUUAAAGCUACACUAAGCCGGGUAAACUCGAUUACAUCUUCCGGUGUUAUUUGUUUCGACAUAAUUUCAAUGAACCCCCUACGUCUAAUGAAUUCGACUAAACACGUUUCAAUUCACACACUAGGAAGAGACGAGUAAAUUCUUGGCCACCAGGAAGUUAUUAGUUUUCUUUGAAAGCACCUAUGAAAGCACAGUUUUUCCGGUGUAACGUUGUCUUGUAUGCACGUGCGAAUUAAUAAAUGAUACACAUAAUAUGUAGGAAGACGCGUUUAUUGGAAAACAGUUAGUUCGUGCGUUCUUAGAUGACUGGAUGGUGAUUAUUGAUUGUAUUAUGCAUUGGCACGUGCAUAGUACUAGACAAAGGGAAGUAAUUACAUACACGGAGCAAUAGUCAUGUAUCAAAUUUGUCUUUAAAAAUACAAGUUUGCAUAUGUAAGGCAUAUAUUCAGUGUCUUGUGGAGGAAUAUUCACGUCGUGGAAAACUAAAUGUAAAACAGAAAAAUUCUCUAUCUGAGCAUCUAAAAGUUAUAUCGAUUUGUGUUUGUUUGUAAAUGAUACUGAACGAACUGAUUCCUUUUAUGAUAUUGCUGUGAAAAACAAGUGUUUUGCGAUUACAUCUACAACUAAACCUGUUCAUUACCAUAGACGCAACAAAUCGACGCAUUACCCAAACUGAUACAUCUUAUUCAACUCGCCUUAUGUCAUGGUUCGCAAAGGGGUACAGAAGGGAAAAGCUUUGGACACGAAGUGAAAUUAUAUCAACUCGUUAUUUAUUUAUUAUUCUUAAUUAACCUGUUAAUCAGAGAAGAUUAGAUGAAUAUGAUAUCCAUAUUAGGUUUGGGUUAGCGAUAUUUUUAUUUUUAUGUAUUUGUACAGUCAUUAAAGCUGUAAAUUUAAUUGAAUUCUAUGUUUUUUGUUAUAGAUUUCGCACUGACACAUCACUAUGGGGUUCGAUGCCAUGAUAACUUCCUCCGAGCAAAGGAUAGUGUUAAUAACAAUAUUUCUCGCAUCUAAUGGUGAAUUGCAUACAUUUUUAUUCCUCUGAUCACUCAAUCACAUUUUUUUUAGCGAAUUUUUGUACUUCAUUUAUUAGACCAGGAUAACGUCUCCUUGCAUAUCGCAUCUACGAUGUGAUUAAAAUUUUAUAUCGAUAAUAUUAAUUGGUAUAAUUUGAAUAAAAUCAGGAUUUACUCAAUAUCGAUAUUUGUAAAAGUUGUAAAAAUAAAAAAUAUGAAUAUGAAAUGACACGAACGGCCAUAGGCUAAUAUUAAUAAGGCUAUGAUAAUAGGGCAGAAUAUGUGUCUUAUACUUUAGUAAUUGAAGUUGAGAAUUCCAUACCACACAUGCUGUAAUGUAAUAAAUAAAAUUUGUGUUCUUUAUAAAUAUAGCAACAGUUUAUUAAUUUCAUUCGUAGUUAAAGUUCUAUGGUUCGUUAGUUACAAUGAUAAAAUAUUACGAUAAUUAUUAAAAUAUAAACACGGUAUUAGAACGGUAUUUUACAAUAUUUUUUCUUCCGAAGAUAUUUAGCUUCGGAAAGGUUAAACUCUUCUCUAUCAGCAUAAAACGUAUUAAAAAUGGAGGAUAGAUUAAAGGAUCAUCGUAACAUUAAGAAAUAGAAGAAGAAUUACAAAAAAACUCGAUACAUUUCGAUAGGAUGUGUUACAGGAAUAUAUCGGUAUUAGUGUAUAAUCUUUAUCUUGCAAACUAUGGGAGGAAAUGUAUUCCAUCGGCUUCGUACGUACGUGUUUCAGUUUAUUUAUUAAAUUAUUGUUUGACACAGGUUAUCGUGUAUGUCGUACAGUGAGAGUUGUGUGUAUGGGCAAUAAUACCUAUCUAUAAUAUAAUAGUAGAAGUAGAAUUAAAGUUAAUCCAUUUA
rnacentral:lncRNA from 1 species